AACAAACGCUGGCGGCGUGCCUAAUACAUGCAAGUCGAACGGGGAAAGUAGCAAUAUGAGUACUAGUGGCGCCCGGGUGAGUAACGCGUGGAUAAUCUGCCUUGAAGAGGGGGAUAACUAGUCGAAAGAUUAGCUAAUACCGCAUAAGACCACAAGAACUGAGGUUCAAGGGGUCAAAGGUUUUUCGCUUCAAGAUGAGUCCGCGUAAGAUUAGCUAGUUGGUGAGGUAAUGGCUCACCAAGGCAACGAUCUUUAACUGGUCUGAGAGGAUGAUCAGUCACACUGGAACUGAGACACGGUCCAGACUCCUACGGGAGGCAGCAGUAGGGAAUAUUGCACAAUGGAGGAAACUCUGAUGCAGCGACGCCGCGUGAGUGAUGAAGGCCUUCGGGUCGUAAAGCUCUGUCGCAGGGGAAUAACACAAUGAAUGUACCCUGUAAGAAAGGAUCGGCUAACUUCGUG
rnacentral:rRNA from 1 species